rnacentral:rRNA from 1 species
UACGUAGGGACCAAGCGUUGUUCGGAUUUACUGGGCGUAAAGGGCGCGUAGGCGGCAAUUCAAGUCAUCUGUGAAAUCUCCGGGCUUAACUCGGAACGGUCAGAUGAUACUGCUUUGCUAGAGUACAGAAGGGGCAAUCGGAAUUCUUGGUGUAGCGGUGAAAUGCGUAGAUAUCAAGAGGAACACCUGAGGUGAAGACGGGUUGCUGGGCUGAUACUGACGCUGAGGCGCGAAAGCUAGGGGUAGCAAACGGG